UCCUCGUUAGUAUAGUGGUCAGUAUCCCUGCCUGUCACGCGGGAGACCGGGGUUCAAUUCCCCGACGGGGAG
rnacentral:tRNA from 1 species